UGCUUACAUGCUUUAUACUGAAGGAACUCAAUAUACUCUGCUAAAGAAACCAUCCGACUAUUCAAAGCAUCGGUCCCCAUGUCGCUACAAUUUGUAGUAGUAAGGUUAACUUGAAAUAGUGGAAAUAAGUAACUCCUAUGAGAAAACUGAAGAAAUAGCUUGAAAAACACUGUUUACAGCAGGGAAACAAAACACUGUUCUGUGCCGGCACACUGUUCAUGCCGGAAACACUGUAGCUCGCCGGAAAAUUCCAAAGUUGUAGGAAUUUGUCGUAACCAGGAUGGAUAGACUCGGAAUUCCUUUGCGAGCAAGCUGUCCUGAAGAAAUAUUUUCAAAAAAUGUCCGGAAAGGUCACUGUUCACGCCGGAAAAAUAUAAAAGUGCCGGAAUUUGAUUUGAAUUAGAUGGGUAGGCUCGGAAUUUUGAGGAGAGCACACUGUCCUGAAGAAGCUUAGCGAAAAAAAGGCCGGAAAGUGGUCAGAACCCUCGCUGGAAAAGUUGUUGCCGGCGCGUGGAGGAGCAUGGCGGCUUCUGCCGGAUAAAAUUUUAGGGGUUGGUAGUCGGAUGGUGAUCUACCUCGUGGUGGUGUUGGUUUUAGCACAACACCGACAAAAAGUGACUUUCACUUAGAUAAG